CAGGCUUAACACAUGCAAGUUGAGGGGCAGCAUGGUCUUAGCUUGCUAAGGCCGAUGGCGACCGGCGCACGGGUGAGUAACACGUAUCCAACCUGCCGUCUACUCUUGGACAGCCUUCUGAAAGGAAGAUUAAUACAAGAUGGCAUCAUGAGUCCGCAUGUUCACAUGAUUAAAGGUAUUCCGGUAGACGAUGGGGAUGCGUUCCAUUAGAUAGUAGGCGGGGUAACGGCCCACCUAGUCUUCGAUGGAUAGGGGUUCUGAGAGGAAGGUCCCCCACAUUGGAACUGAGACACGGUCCAAACUCCUACGGGAGGCAGCAGUGAGGAAUAUUGGUCAAUGGGCGAGAGCCUGAACCAGCCAAGUAGCGUGAAGGAUGACUGCCCUAUGGGUUGUAAACUUCUUUUAUAAAGGAAUAAAGUCGGGUAUGCAUACCCGUUUGCAUGUACUUUAUGAAUAAGGAUCGGCUAACUCCGUGCCAGCAGCCGCGGUAAUACGGAGGAUCCGAGCGUUAUCCGGAUUUAUUGGGUUUAAAGGGAGCGUAGAUGGAUGUUUAAGUCAGUUGUGAAAGUUUGCGGCUCAACCGUAAAAUUGCAGUUGAUACUGGAUAUCUUGAGUGCAGUUGAGGCAGGCGGAGUUCGUGGUGUAGCGGUGAAAUGCUUAGAUAUCACGAAGAACUCCGAUUGCGAAGGCAGCCUGCUAAGCUGCAACUGACAUUGAGGCUCGAAAGUGUGGGUAUCAAACAGGAUUAGAUACCCUGGUAGUCCACACGGUAAACGAUGAAUACUCGCUGUUUGCGAUAUACGGCAAGCGGCCAAGCGAAAGCGUUAAGUAUUCCACCUGGGGAGUACGCCGGCAACGGUGAAACUCAAAGGAAUUGACGGGGGCCCGCACAAGCGGAGGAACAUGUGGUUUAAUUCGAUGAUACGCGAGGAACCUUACCCGGGCUUAAAUUGCAGAUGAAUUACGGUGAAAGCCGUAAGCCGCAAGGCAUCUGUGAAGGUGCUGCAUGGUUGUCGUUAGCUCGUGCCGUGAGGUGUCGGCUUAAGUGCCAUAACGAGCGCAACCCUUGUUGUCAGUUACUAACAGGUCAUGCUGAGGACUCUGACAAGACUGCCAUCGUAAGAUGUGAGGAAGGUGGGGAUGACGUCAAAUCAGCACGGCCCUUACGUCCGGGGCUACACACGUGUUACAAUGGGGGGUACAGAGGGCCGCUACCACGCGAGUGGAUGCCAAUCCCAAAAACCUCUCUCAGUUCGGACUGGAGUCUGCAACCCGACUCCACGAAGCUGGAUUCGCUAGUAAUCGCGCAUCAGCCACGGCGCGGUGAAUACGUUCCCGGGCCUUGUACACACCGCCCGUCAAGCCAUGGGAGCCGGGGGUACCUGAAGUGCGUAACCGCGAGGAGCGCCCUAGGGUAAAACUGGUGACUGG
rnacentral:rRNA from 1 species